AACCAGGGGACCAAGUCAUCUUUGGCGAUAAAAAACAGUUAGGAAAGAUUUAAAAUCAUACAACUAAUAUAAUAAAGUAAAAUUUGAAUAUUAAGGAAAACCUAAAAAGUUAAUUCCGAACUGUGAAACUCUUGAGGGAAACUGGGAUUAGAUACCCCACUAUUCAAGAGCAUAAAAGAAUUUACCAGGGUACUACGAACUAUGUUUAAAACUCAAAGGGCUUGGCGGUGCCUUAGACCCCCCAGGGGAACCUGUCUCGUAAUCGAUGAUCCACGCAAUACCUGACCUCGCUUAUUGGUUUGUAUACCGUCGUCGGCAGGUAACUUUCAAAAAAAUAAAAGUUAGCAGAAAAACUUUAAGUUUAGACGUCAGAUCAAGGUGCAGCUUAUGGUGGGGGGAGGAUGGGUUACAAUUAUAAUUUAUAUUACCAAAGCUAAUUGAAAAUUUGUUUAAAGGCGGACUUGGAAGUAAGUUGAAAUAUAAAAAUACUCUGAAUAAGGCUCUGAGGUGU
rnacentral:rRNA from 1 species